rnacentral:rRNA from 1 species
GAUGAACGCUGGCGGCGUGCCUAAUACAUGCAAGUCGAGCGAACGGACGAGAAGCUUGCUUCUCUGAUGUUAGCGGCGGACGGGUGAGUAACACGUGGAUAACCUACCUAUAAGACUGGGAUAACUUCGGGAAACCGGAGCUAAUACCGGAUAAUAUUUUGAACCGCAUGGUUCAAAAGUAAAAGACGGUCUUGCUGUCACUUAUAGAUGGAUCCGCGCUGCAUUAGCUAGUUGGUAAGGUAACGGAUUACCAAGGCAACGAUGCAUAGCCGACCUGAGAGGGUGAUCGGCCACACUGGAACUGAGACACGGUCCAGACUCCUACGGGAGGCAGCAGUAGGGAAUCUUCCGCAAUGGGCGAAAGCCUGACGGAGCAACGCCGCGUGAGUGAUGAAGGUCUUCGGAUCGUAAAACUCUGUUAUUAGGGAAGAACAUAUGUGUAAGUAACUGUGCACAUCUUGACGGUACCUAAUCAGAAAGCCACGGCUAACUACGUG